rnacentral:lncRNA from 1 species
UAUAUAAAGUAUGUGUUUGUGUGCGCGCUGUAUGUGUAUUUGCAGUUUAUAAGAUAAUUUGUAUGUAUCUAGCAAUAGAUAUAAGCAUAUCACUGCACUGUCGCACUAGGCGACAACGAAUUUGUUCAUGCGUGAAAGUGAGUAAGGGGGAUAGGGUUGCAACGGGGGGAAUACUGAAAGAGAUAGGAAAAAACUGACGUGAAGAAGGUGGAAGUGAGUGACAGGGAGGCAGUAGACAUGGAGAGCGAUAGAAACAGAGAGAUAUAAGGGAGGAAGACAGAAAGAGAAAGUUAGAAAAUUAAAUCUGCUGUAGAUAAUAUUUCAUUGCCACGAACUGCAAUAUUAGUUGUAGACACAGGAAAGGAGAGCAGUUGUAAAAUGACAGAAGAAGCAGCCUCCACAGCUGCCAGAGAUGAUUUCAACACGCUGCAAGCAUCUAAGAGGCGCAUUUUGCUACGUCUGUGGUCAAUUUAUCAAACACAAAGAAUAAAAGAAAACUCUAUAGCAGCAACAUAUAAAAUGUAUGAGGCCUGCAGGGCAUAUUUUGGCAUGCCUGUCGAAGACUCAGACGAACACAUGCGAGUAUAGCAAAAGAAAUUCUAGAAGUUGCAGAAAGGAAUAGAAUGCUAUGAAGAUCGUUGUCGCAAGUAGUUGGUGAGAACCCACUGAACACUGAAAUAAUAGUACCAUUCUAAAAGUCGGGCAUGUAAGAACGUCAGUUACUGUAUCGAGAUAUUCCCUCAUCCACUGCCACGUCUGACACUGCCUCCUCCGACGUGGAUUGCAGUUUGGGUGUUGUGCAAAGUGCACUAAUUACCACAGAAGCGUCACAUUUGUGUUCCACAUUUGGUUAGGUCUUAAUGUUUCUCUAUUUUCUCAAUUUCUGUGGUAUUCGCUCUAUUAUCGUAUCACAUUUCAAAGCCUACUAUCCUACGCUGUUUGGUUUGUUGAUGUUUCCCUCAACAAUAUCCGUCUCCUUACUUUAGUGUCUUUUUUUUUAAAUACAGUACAGCAGCAUGACUCGGUGUUUUUAUUCUAUUUUCACAAUCGACGCACAAUGUUACGCUGGGAUGGGGUUCGACUAGUCGGCUUUGAAUUACAAAUAGAGACUGUUUUGCGUUACACAACAGGGAUAUUGAGAAUGGCUAAGGUAAGUAAUUAUGUCAGGUAAUACUGUUUCAGAACUUAAUUGGAAAUGAAAAUAAAAUACAAAAUACACACGUGGACAGAGAAUAAAAUCCGCAAAUGGCUUUAAAGGAUUAUAUUAGAAAUCAAAUGUUUAAAAUGGAGUCAGAGGUUUUAGGUAGUUUGUAGUCACAGUUUUUAAUUAAAAUGGUGUCGAGGUUUUAGUGUAACUAGUGUAAAAGAAGUCGAUUCUUAACCAAUAUUCCGACUAUCAUAGAAAUUGACAAUUCAAAGACUUGAUACUCAUUGAGCUGCUAGUUAUUUAAUAUCAGCAUUUCCUCAUUAAAAUUGUUCCAUUAUCCUAUUUACAGACUUCUAAUGAGAAAGAGAAUAAUAAUGCAAUAACAGUGUCGAGACUAAUUGGCAGAAAUUGUUGAUGAUAUACCACUAUGUACGUCACCUCCGCCCAUACAUGUAUUAUAACUAUCAACUUUGAUAUAUCUCUUUUAGAAAUAAAUAUAGCCUAUGUCCAGAUUUCACAACAAAUUUAACACAGGCAUCAUAUGUAUUUAAUAGGUAUAUCAUAAAUCAUCUCUGCAUGAAAGUGAAGUGAAGUAAGGUUUUGAACUACAUGAAAUGCUCUAGUGCCUUUCCAAUUUAUUUCUCUAAUUCUCGUUCUGAGCACCUUUCUUUCAGUGUAACAAUUAGUCACAUGUUUUCACGACCGAUUUACAUGACGAGUUACGAAGUUUACAAAUAAAUUUCGUUUCUUUUUCCUGCCAAUGCUGUUACUACAGCUGGCAAUAUGGCGAACGCUGAAGAGGAAAAGUUUUCUUUGUUUACCUGUUGAUCUAGACGAGGGGACGAUGCACUGGGGUGAAUGUAAUCGAUUUACCCGUUUCCCUGAAAUUGCUGGCCUUGUGCCAAAAUUUGAAACUGAUAUUUUACUUCAACUGUUGUAGGUCGACACCUUCAGGAAAGACAUGAACAGGGAGAGAGUUCUGGACGACUGACGCUCUAGGAGAGGAAGGAAUUGGUGUAGUGGUUAAUGUAGGGCAUUGGGUGAUUGGAUUCAACAUGGAGGAUUGGAGAAGGAAAUGAUGAGUGAGACGGGAGAGCUUGAGUGUUGAUAGGAUGAAAAUAACCAGAUCCAAGGGAAAGAGAAUAUUACAGUAGAGCUAGGAAACAGACCAUCGGUGACCAAUCAGUCGAAUAGCCAUUCUCUGGAGUUAGUCUACAUUAUAUGCGUAUGCAGCAGCAAAGGUAGGACUGUCAUAGAUGUAGAACUAAAUACCCUACUGUGGACCGAGUAUUGUAGAGUAUUGAGGAAUUGUGGGGUUUCUUUGCUGUUUGCUCUGAAGGAAAUGGUGCCCUUUGAGAUACGGUCUUACCAAUGUUAAGAUCCUUAGAGAUAGAAACCUAACAUGUGAAGCGAUUGUAAGGGCUCUAGUUGAGUGCUAAUCGCACUAGGGACUAGAGUGAGGUAAUGUUUUCUUUACAUGGAAAUGGAUGCAAUUUUUCUUUUGAGGGAGACACAAUUGGCUGAGGUUUUCUAAGUAUUUGUUCAUUAAAUCAGUUUUAGUGUGUGGUGGGGAUCUAGAUUACAUAGUGCUAACUCCUAUUUAGGGCCAAUAACAGAAGACAACUAGUAUCAUCCGUGUGAGAGUGACAAAUAGGUUAUUGGAUAAAAAAACGAGUGGGAAGAAUUGUACUAAGCAUCAAGCUGAAGAGCAUGGGUGCUACAAAACAACCUUACCUCACACCAUUGGUAACAUUGAAAGGUGCUGAGAAUUCUCCAUCAUUCAAGAUAUGAGGUUACAUGCCAUCGUGAAAUUGAUGCGUCAUGUUAAUGAACAUGUCUGAGAAACAACCAUCUUCCUUAUUUUCUAGAGUAUUUGUCAGUUUACAGUAUUAAAAGCUUUGGUCAGAUCGAUUUUGUUUCCGGUCUCCAUUUUGUUCCUGACAUUUUCUUGUAGCUGUCUUGCAGCAAAGAUCAUUUUCAAGUUCCGUGAGAUUUUCGAAAACUACACAGACAGUCAGGAAGCAACCGAGAUUUAAGACGUUGUAUGAGCAGGUUGAACACUAUGUGUACCAGGAUUAUUCCUGCGAAUGGCAUGAGGGAUAUUCCCCUACAGCUGUCACACUGUUGAAUGUUUCCUUUUCUUUUAUGGAGAUGUACAAUGCCGACAUCUUUGAAUUCCUGUGGAAUUAAUUCGUACUCCCUCAUUGUAGUAAAUAGGGCGAAUGGGUUUUUCCUGUAUUUUCCGGCCACCAUAUCUCAGCAAGAAUUGCAUCAGAUUUCGAGGUUUUACCGUAGGCUAGUCGUCUCAUAGCCAACUGAAUUUCACUGAAUGUAAGUGGGUUACCCUAUUGAUAGUUCACGAGUACCUGAGGUAACCGGGUUUUGUGAGAGGGACGAUUUAAGGGAGUCAGUGUUCUGCCCAUCACUUCAGUAUCAGGGAUUUCUCUGUCAAUAAGGACACAGCAUCAAAGCUAAGCAGAUAGGCAAUCCUCGUUUUCGGGGUUACCCAUAUAAAGCAUUGAUUGCUUUUAUAGGGACCUUUAAAGUCGCUUAUCUUUGCUUGGUGGUGUAUAUACCACGAUACCAUAAUGCAUUGUUUUUUUCUGUUGCAGACGAAAACAACCCCCAUGUACUGAUUCAUUACCUCGUGUAUUAUUUGCCAAAAGUUGUUGGUGCAAUUGGUUCUUGCAUCAUCAUUAUUCUCAUCAUUGGUGUUUUCGUUCUAUUUUACCUAAGAUUUGAGUGAAGAUGCAUCAACAGUGGUCCCGGAAUUUCAUCCAUUUAUCCUCAAUGGAGAGACCUGAGUCAAUCAAUCAGUUAUGACUUUUGGGAGAAUGGUUCUUUAUGUGACUGUUUAAUCAUGCCACGUACAAAAGAAACCUUGGAACUGUCAGGUGGGCCUAGUCAGCGUAAAAUCGCAAACCUUGGAAUUCCGCUUUCUACAAUUAAUAGAGUAAUUGUGCAAUUUACCUGAGAGGGAGAGGAGUCAACAUCACUUCACCCAGGUCGACCAGGGCUCUGACAGGACCCCCCGCUUUGUUAAAAGAAGUGUGGAGGAUAAUCCUCGUUGCAAGACCUCUGACAUAGCAGAACGUGUUGAUGUCGAUCACAAAACAGCUGCUAGAUAUCUCCACAAACUCGGCUACUAUAGCACAGUAGCAAGAAGGAAGCCACUUCUUCGACCAACCAACAUCAAGCGGAGAAAAGAUUGGGCCAGUGAAAUGGUGGAGAGACCACUAGCAUUUUGGGACACUGUCAUAUUCUCUGAUGAGUCCAGAUUUGCAGUAUUUUCUGACAGUAAUCGAGUGUGGAUCUGGAGACUGUGAACAAGCAUUUGAUGUGAAAAGAUUGCAGCCAACAAUGAAACAUGGCAGCUGUUCUGUGAUGGUCUGGGGAGCAAUUCUGAGCAAUGGUCGAUCAGAGCUGAUGGAGUGUGAAGUAAACAUAAACUCGGAUAAAUAUGCAUCCAUAUUGCAGAAAGUACUCCUUCCAAUUUUCUCCAGUGGUGAAAUGAUUAAGGAAGACUCUUUAUUUAUG